rnacentral:rRNA from 1 species
AACGAACGCUGGCGGCAGGCUUAACACAUGCAAGUCGAGCGCCCCGCCAGGGGAGCGGCAGACGGGUGAGUAACGCGUGGGAACGUACCUUUUGGUUCGGAACAACUCCGGGAAACUGGAGCUAAUACCGGAUAAGCCCUAACGGGGAAAGAUUUAUCGCCGAAAGAUCGGCCCGCGUCUGAUUAGCUAGUUGGUGAGGUCACGGCGCACCAAGGCGACGAUCAGUAGCUGGUCUGAGAGGAUGAUCAGCCACACUGGGACUGAGACACGGCCCAGACUCCUACGGGAGGCAGCAGUGGGGAAUAUUGGACAAUGGGCGCAAGCCUGAUCCAGCCAUGCCGCGUGAGUGAUGAAGGCCUUAGGGUUGUAAAGCUCUUUUGUCCGGGAAGAUAAUGACGGUACCGGAAGAAUAAGCCCCGGCUAACUUCGUG